GACGAACGCUGGCGGCGUGCUUAACACAUGCAAGUCGAACGGAAAGGCCCUGCUUUUGUGGGGUGCUCGAGUGGCGAACGGGUGGGUAACACGUGAGUAACCUGCCCUUGACUUUGGGAUAACUUCAGGAAACUGGGGCUAAUACCGGAUAGGAGCUCCUGCUGCAUGGUGGGGGUUGGAAAGUUUCGGCGGUUGGGGAUGGACUCGCGGCUUAUCAGCUUGUUGGUGGGGUAGUGGCUUACCAAGGCUCUGACGGGUAGCCGGCCUGAGAGGGUGACCGGCCACAUUGGGACUGAGAUACGGCCCAGACUCCUACGGGAGGCAGCAGUGGGGAAUAUUGCACAAUGGGCGGAAGCCUGAUGCAGCAACGCCGCGUGCGGGAUGACGGCCUUCGGGUUGUAAACCGCUUUCGCCUGUGACGAAGCGUGAGUGACGGUAAUGGGUAAAGAAGCACCGGCUAACUACGUG
rnacentral:rRNA from 1 species